rnacentral:rRNA from 1 species
AGCAGUAGCCACGGUAAAACGGAGGGUGCAAGCGUUAUCCGGAUUUAUUGGGUUUAAAGGGUCCGUAGGCGGAUCUGUAAGUCAGUGGUGAAAUCUCACAGCUUAACUGUGAAACUGCCAUUGAUACUGCAGGUCUUGAGUAAAUUUGAAGUGGCUGGAAUAAGUAGUGUAGCGGUGAAAUGCAUAGAUAUUACUUAGAACACCAAUUGCGAAGGCAGGUCACUAAGAUUUAACUGACGCUGAUGGACGAAAGCGUGGGGAGCGAACAGGAUUAGAUACCCCCGUAGUCCCUGUCUCUUAUAC